rnacentral:rRNA from 1 species
UACGGGGGGGGCAAGCGUUGUUCGGAAUUACUGGGCGUAAAGGGUUUGUAGGUGGCUGAUUAAGUCAGACGUGAAAUCCCUCAGCUUAACUGGGGAACUGCGUCUGAUACUGGUUAGCUUGAGUGCAGGAGAGGAACGCGGAAUUCCAGGUGUAGCGGUGAAAUGCGUAGAUAUCUGGAGGAACACCGGUGGCGAAGGCGCCACUCUGGGCCGGUAUUGACACUGAAAAGCGAAAGCCAGGGGAGCAAACGGG